ACACACACACACACACACACACACACACACACGUGCACACAGAGUGAUAAACUAAUAACUGAUUUGUGAUUUUGUGGAGGUUUUUUUCCCCAGUACAAUUUCCACAUAUUUCCUUUUGGGAGUCAGUUCAAGGCAAGUUAGUCAGUACUUCAGUAAGAUACUUUCACUGCAACAUAAAGUUUAAAAUGUGGUUCUUUCCAUCACUCUGUGUUAAUGUAUGUGAGUUGAAGCAGAACAGCAGCCUCCACACUUUACCUGAUUACUUCAAAUAAUGAAACUGUGUAGUUUCCAUUAGAGGUGUGAUUUCUGAGGUCUUUUCUCUUUAGGAGGAAGAUGUGGAGAGAACGUGAUUACUGAAGGACGUCCGGACUGUGAAGUAAAGCAGAAGGAUCAGACAGAACCUGAUGUUACUUACUCUACUGUAAGCCACGUGAACACAGCCGGAGCAGCACGGGUCCAGAUCAACGCUGGAGACAAAACUGAAUAUGCCAGCGUUAUAACAAACUAAUCCACAGUAAAUAUACAUAGAUACACUCUCAGAUAUUAUAUAAUAAUAAUGAAAACAUUUAUUAAAUACACACCAUGGUAAGCAUGUUUUUCCCCAAAUUGUGUUUUUCAUGUUUUUCUUUGUUUUUUUCAAGUAAAUAGCAGAUUCAAAUAUAUGCAUGUAUGGGGGAAAGGGGGCGGGGUUUCCAGAGUAUUGCAUUACAUUUAUUUAUGUUAGCUAAGGGUAUUGUUCCUCAUUUACUUUGUGUGUUAAUCAUUAAAAAUUGCUGAUGGAUAAUCUUGCUGAAGUAUUUAGAGCGUACGCAUCAUCUUAUAUCUUAUGUGUAUCAUUCUUAUAUCAGAAUAAGAAAUGAAUGUAGAAGGCUUUUAUCAUCAUCCUGUUUUGUGUAAGAAGACUCCUAUAUCUGUUCUUGUUUGUGACUUUUAAAGUCUGCUGAGUUCGGGUAAAAAUAAAAGAAUGAGAAUCGAUG